rnacentral:rRNA from 1 species
UACAGGGGGGGCAAGCGUUGUUCGGAAUUACUGGGCGUAAAGGGCUCGUAGGUGGCCAACUAAGUCAGACGUGAAAUCCCUCAGCUUAACUGGGGAACUGCGUCUGAUACUGGAUGGCUUGGAUUCGGGAGAGGAAUGCGGAAUUCCAGGUGUAGCGGUGAAAUGCGUAGAUAUCUGGAGGAACACCGGUGGCGAAGGCGGCAUUCUGGACCGAUAUUGACGCUGAGGAGCGAAAGCCAGGGGAGCAAACGGG